rnacentral:miRNA from 1 species
UUUGCAACGUAUCUGGGUUUAC